rnacentral:rRNA from 1 species
UACGUAGGGUGCGAGCGUUUGUCCGGAAUUAUUGGGCGUAAAGGGCUCGUAGGCGGUUUGUCGCGUCGGGAGUGAAAAUCCAGGGCUUAACUCUGGACUGGCUUCCGAUACGGGCAGACUAGAGGUAUGCAGGGGAGAACGGAAUUCCUGGUGUAGCGGUGAAAUGCGCAGAUAUCAGGAGGAACACCGGUGGCGAAGGCGGUUCUCUGGGCCUUACCUGACGCUGAGGAGCGAAAGCGUGGGGAGCAAACAGG